AGUGUUCACGUGGGGCUCAGAUAGCCGCAGCAGAUGGCCUGGAGAGGCUGCUUUUCCCCCCUCGCUCGCCAGGUGGCAGAAAGCCUUGGCAUGAUGGAGAAAUUCAUAAGGGAACAAAGAGAACUCUUUGGGAUUCCAUCCCAUCUGCCUGUCUCGCCCGGACAUAAGCACCAGGACUUUGCCCUGAGGAGGCCAUUUGGACACUGAACCCACUGUCAUUGCCCGGAGGGGAGAAAAUUGCAGGGGCUGGACAUAAGUCGGACCUGCUGAGGAUAAACCUGGAACCAGCCUCAUUCAUCUGCUGCAAGCAAAGCACAUUUCAUCUGAUGCUCACAUGGCUGAAGUUUGCCUUUCCUCAGAGGCCAGAGUCCCUGGGCAUGAACGACCUCUCUCGACUCUCAUCUGUCACUCAGAAUCCCCCGGGGAAAUGCCCCGCUGCUCGCUCCUUAGCAUCUGACAGUACUGCGCAGCUCUGUGCUGGUCUCCGGCAGCAGACACGUGGACCAGAA